rnacentral:rRNA from 1 species
AUUGAACGCUGGCGGCAUGCCUUACACAUGCAAGUCGAACGGUAACGGGCCUUCGGGUGCCGACGAGUGGCGAACGGGUGAGUAAUACAACGGAACGUGCCCGAUCGUGGGGGAUAACGAGGCGAAAGCUUUGCUAAUACCGCAUACGAUCUACGGAUGAAAGCAGGGGACCGCAAGGCCUUGCGCGGACGGUGCGGCCGCUGGCAGAUUAGGUAGUUGGUGGGAUAAAAGCUUACCAAGCCGACGAUCUGUAGCUGGUCUGAGAGGAUGAUCCGCCACACUGGGACUGAGACACGGCCCAGACUCCUACGGGAGGCAGCAGUGGGGAAUUUUGGACAAUGGGCGCAAGCCUGAUCCAGCCAUGCCGCGUGCAUGAUGAAGGCCUUCGGGUUGUAAACUGCUUUUGUACGGAACGAAAAGCCUUCUUUUAAUACAGGAGGGUCAUGACGGUACCGUAAGAAUAAGCACCGGCUAACUACGUG